rnacentral:rRNA from 1 species
AGGGAAUCUUCCACAAUGGACGCAAGUCUGAUGGAGCAACGCCGCGUGAGUGAAGAAGGUUUUCGGACCGUAAAGCUCUGUUGUUGGUGAAGAAGGAUAGAGGUAGUAACUGGCCUUUAUUUGACGGUAAUCAACCAGAAAGUCACGGCUAACUACGUGCCAGCAGCCGCGGUAAUACGUAGGUGGCAAGCGUUGUCCGGAUUUAUUGGGCGUAAAGCGAGCGCAGGCGGAAGAAUAAGUCUGAUGUGAAAGCCCUCGGCUUAACCGAGGAAUUGCAUCGGAAACUGUUUUUCUUGAGUGCAGAAGAGGAGAGUAGAACUCCAUGUGUAGCGGUGGAAUGCGUAGAUAUAUGGAAGAAUACCAGUGGCGAAGGCGGCUCUCUGGUCUGCAACUGACGCUGAGGCUCGAAAGCAUGGGUAGCGAACAGGAUUAGAUACCCUUGGUA